AGCAGCCGCGGUAAUUCCAGCUCCAAUAGCGUAUAUUAAAGUUGUUGCAGUUAAAAAGCUCGUAGUUGAAUUUCGGGGUUAGCAAGUUGGUCGUGCCUUUGGUAUGCACUGGCCUUGCUGAUUCCUCCUUCUUGAAGAACUGUGAUGUUAUUAAUUUGGUGUUGCAGGGAAACAGGACUGUUACUUUGAAAAAUUGAGUGUUUAAAGCAGGCUAACGCUUGAAUACAUUAGCAUGGAAUAAUGAAAUAGGACGUUUGAUCCUAUUUUGUUGGUUUCUAGGAUUGACGUAAUGAUUAAUAGGGAUAGUUGGGGGCAUUAGUAUUCAAUUGUCAGAGGUGAAAUUCUUGGAUUUAUUGAAGACUAACUACUGCGAAAGCAUUUGCCAAGGAUGUUUUCAUUAAUCAAGAACGAAAGUUAGGGGAUCGAAGACGAUCAGAUACCGUCGUAGUCUUAACCAUAAACUAUGCCGACUAGGGAUCGGAUGAUGUUAAUUUUUAAUGACUCAUUCGG
rnacentral:rRNA from 1 species